GGGAACCAUAAAGAACAAAUCUUCCACAUCUGCAGCUGCCAUCUGUGCACGAGCAGCUGCUGGCAGAACCGCUGCGAGCCGGGCCGUGUUCGGGGCAGCAGCUGCUGGCAGGGCUGAGUCAGCGCUCAGGCACCAAGAAUUGAUCGUUAAUUGCCACCUCCCACCCGGUUUCCAAACUGGCCAGACAGGUGAGUUCUAUGGGGAGCGCGUCCUCGAGGUGAUUUGUCUUUUCUCCAAAUCUGCUCUGAUGUCAGAAAUCCCACGUCACGCCGCAGCAGCAAUGGGCACAGCGGUGCGUCAGCGAUCCUGGAUCUGAGGAGCGCAGGGGCUGCGCGAAGUACGCAUGCUACAGCCUCCCUGUUUCUUUGGGCUUUGGGACUGAUACUCGAGCCAAAAGGCCAUACACUGCCAUACAGGCAGGUGCCAGGGAGCCGUGAACUGACCCCGGCAGUUUGGCAAACAGCGCUUGCUCCAUUCUCACUGGCACUCUCAACCCAUGGCUGUCCAGGCUGCGCUCCCAGAUCUCAGCGUCUUGCUGUGUUAGUAUGAAAUUGGUGCUCCGCUAUCUAUUGGAAAGGUCACUGACUGCCUCUGAGGACAGACUGGAAUCAAAAUAUUUGGGCCGCCAUAGCUCCUCCAUGGAUAAAUCCCCCCUUGCUGCACAGACA